rnacentral:rRNA from 1 species
UACGUAGGGGGCUAGCGUUGUCCGGAAUCAUUGGGCGUAAAGAGCGUGUAGGCGGCUCGAUAAGUCCGCUGUGAAAGUCCAGGGCUCAACCCUGGGAUGCCGGUGGAUACUGUCGGGCUCGAGUCCGGAAGAGGCGAGUGGAAUUCCUGGUGUAGCGGUGAAAUGCGCAGAUAUCGGGAGGAACACCAAUGGCGAAGGCAGCUCGCUGGGACGUGACUGACGCUGAGGCGCGAAAGCGUGGGGAGCAAACAGG